AUUGAACGCUGGCGGCAUGCUUUACACAUGCAAGUCGAACGGUAACAGGUUAAGCUGACGAGUGGCGAACGGGUGAGUAAUGCAUCGGAACGUGCCCGGUCGUGGGGGAUAACACUUCGAAAGAAGUGCUAAUACCGCAUACGAUCUAAGGAUGAAAGCGGGGGACCGUAAGGCCUCGCGCGAUCGGAGCGGCCGAUGUCAGAGUAGGUAGUUGGUGGGGUAAAGGCCUACCAAGCCGACGAUCUGUAGCUGGUCUGAGAGGACGACCAGCCACACUGGGACUGAGACACGGCCCAGACUCCUACGGGAGGCAGCAGUGGGGAAUUUUGGACAAUGGGCGCAAGCCUGAUCCAGCAAUGCCUCGUGCAGGAAGAAGGCCUUCGGGUUGUAAACUGCUUUUGUACGGAGCGAAAAGGCUCUCUCUAAUACAGGGGGCUGAUGACGGUACCGUAAGAAUAAGCACCGGCUAACUACGUGCCAGCCGCCGCGGUAACAC
rnacentral:rRNA from 1 species